UGAGGAAUAUUGGUCAAUGGGCGAGAGCCUGAACCAGCCAAGUAGCGUGCAGGAUGACGGCCCUAUGGGUUGUAAACUGCUUUUAUAUGGGAAUAAAGUGAGGGACGUGUCCCUUAUUGCAUGUACCAUACGAAUAAGGACCGGCUAAUUCCGUGCCAGCAGCCGCGGUAAUACGGAAGGUCCAGGCGUUAUCCGGAUUUAUUGGGUUUAAAGGGAGCGUAGGCCGUUUGGUAAGCGUGUUGUGAAAUGUAGGAGCUCAACUUCUAGAUUGCAGCGCGAACUGUCAGACUUGAGUGCGCACAACGUAGGCGGAAUUCAUGGUGUAGCGGUGAAAUGCUUAGAUAUCAUGAAGAACUCCGAUUGCGAAGGCAGCUUACGGGAGCGCAACUGACGCUGAAGCUCGAAGGUGCGGGUAUCGAACAGG
rnacentral:rRNA from 1 species